GGCGUAGCGCAGCCUGGUAGCGCACUUCCUUGGGGUGGAAGUGGUCGGAGGUUCAAAUCCUCUCGCC
rnacentral:tRNA from 1 species